rnacentral:rRNA from 1 species
UGGUGGAGUGAUUUGUCUGGUUAAUUCCGUUAACGAACGAGACCUCGACCUGCUAAAUAGUUCGGCGAACUUUUAGUUCGUCACACUUCUUAGAGGGACUAUCGGUUCAUAACCGAAGGAAGUUCGAGGCAAUAACA